UAUCACUUUCAGUAGCUGCUUAUCCAGUACAGGGUCUUGGGGGAGCUGGGGCCUAUCCCGGCAUGCAACGGGCACAAGGCAGGAUACACCCUGGACAGGACGCCAGUCCAUCACAAGGUCACAUACAGACACACACUUCUCCCAGAAGCCAAUUAACCCACCAGCAUGUCUUUGGCCUGUGCGAGGAAAAUGAAACACCCAGAGGAAACCCAUGCAAACCCAGGGAGAGCAUGCAAACACCACCCAGACAGCACCCCAGGGAUCGAACCCAGGGCCCUGCAAGGCAGCAACGCUCACCACUGCACACUUGUAAGAAAAGCAGCCCAAAACCGAGCAAGGACAGCACACGAUGAAGCUGGCUUGGGUGACGGCAACCUUAUUGGCGCUGGUUGACGUGUCACAUCAGCCGCGCAGUCUUUAAAAGAGGGGGAAUGAGGCCAGACCGGUUUGAAGAAUGAUGUCGAUCCAGUUACCCGCCUGGACGGCAGAGGAGAGCAGACGGGAGUACUUGAGAGCAGGCAGAGGGAGGAGCGGAGCCUGAAGAGAGAGUCUGACGAAGGAAGAGGAACCCGCUAGCUGGCAUGGCAACCGUCCGUCCCCCGAGUCAUCGCAUAGGGCCUCUCGGGAUUGGCAUCGCCAUCGGCCUGUCGAUCCUGGCCUGCCUGCUGAUUGUCUGCCUGCUGAAGCACUGCUGCAAGAAGUUCUGUCACUGCCAGCGCAGUGAGUCCCCUCUCCAUCUCCCUGCCUCGCAUGACCCAUUUUCCCAGCUGAUCCCUCAUCCAAACAUCCAGCCAUUGUCUAACCACUUUAUGAGGUUCAGGGUCACUGAAGAGCCAGUCCAUCUCAGGGCACACACAGACACACACACACACACUCACAGCAGGGCAGAUUUUCCCAGCAGCCAGUUAACCCACCAGCUUGCCAGGAAACCUGAAGCACCUGGAGGAAACGCAGACAAACUCCACACAGACAGCACCCCAGGAAGUGAACCCAGGGCCUCAGCGCUGCAAGGCAGCAAUACGGAACACUGCUUCACCAUGCUAUCUCGACAUCAAACUGGGAAAUGUUGUGAUGCAAAUCAAAGAUAUGCCAAAAGCAGAAGAUGCAGCUUGCUCUUUGUUGCCAUUCCAACUGGAACCUGAAAACUGCCAGGUGUCCCCUCUUUAACAACAAAACACUCUCUGCAGAAACCACGACCGGUUCAGCUGUGAUUCGGCAAGACUUUGUAGAAAAAUGAGUCAAAUUAUUAAUGGAGCCCAAAAUCGUGAACUUUGUGAAAGUACUGUCGCCAUGUUGUCGAGAGUUUCUACGAACUGUCACGUGAGGCGGCCCUUCCUGCUCACUAGUCACUGUAAUGACUAACGUUACGUGAUGGACGAGCAAAUAAGUACAGGUUGUUGACAAGUACUAUUUGUCGACAAAACCAUCUCUUAGUGGAGAGCAAUAUUCCUUCUGGAUUAAAAGGCCUGGAUUCACAAGCCUGAGUGUUUACAGUGUAAUAGAGCUGCUUCACCUCACCAGAAGUCUUGUUGCCUCGUUCAGAAUCAUAGAACAUGGCGCUGAGCAUCCCUGGAAAUCACCUCAAUUUUGUAAUGUUAACAGGAGAUUUCACAGGUUACUGUGUACAUUUUACUUUCAUUGCAGCUUGAAAUGCACGCAUCCAUGCCGAUUCUUUCUGACCCCCAAAUAUGAAACGAGUGCUGCAGCUCCCCUUUAAAGUCAGCUGGUCCACUGACACAAGCUGGUCCUGAAAGCUGCAAGCUGUGUAACUGUACCCCUUGGCACACGACACAUGCUGCCACGCGGAACAUGUUCUUACUGACUGCUGCAGGGCUUGCCCAGGUGCCCAUGAGAGGGUAGAAAUCGAUCUGGAACACAGAUCGGUGUACCCCAGGGGUUCCCAAGCCCCAAUAGCAGCCCAUCUCCCAGCUACCCAGCUGUGCCCUGAACCGACUUAAUUACAGGAUUCAUUCGAACCGGUAACACUAGGUGCAGCUCAAGAGCAAUACUAUUAGAUUUCGGAUCAAAGAUAAAAUCCCAAUCCUUUGAGCAGAUAACUCGCAAACUUUGCAAUCAAGCACGUUUGUUUGCUCAGGUACAACAAGCACACCAAGGAAACUCAGCUGAUGAAUGAAAACUUACAGGUGUGGGGGCCACCUGCACCAGGAAUGUGUACCCCUGGGGUGCACUGCUGUUGCACUGGGGAAAGCGUGGUGUACCUUUGAGCUGGGGGCAUUGAAUUUCAAGGAGCAAAUCAGUCUUCAAUUACAGGAGUUUGAUCAGGUGGAUAAGAGUGUAGAACAGAUGGUACAGUCCAUCAGAGCCCACUGAGACUGAGAGGGGUGCAGAGUAGAGGUGGUACAGUCCAUCAGAGCCCAGUGAGAAUCAGAAGGGUGUAAAGUAGAGAUGGUACAGUCCAUCACAGCCUAUUGAGACUGGGAGGGGUGUAGAGUAGAGAUGGUACAGUCAUCUGGAUUAUUGCUCUGUACAGCUACAAAG
rnacentral:lncRNA from 1 species